rnacentral:piRNA from 1 species
UGGGAAGUGUUUUCUGAGAGCACAG